rnacentral:rRNA from 1 species
AACGCUAGCUACAGGCUUAACACAUGCAAGUCGAGGGGCAGCAUGAACUUAGCUUGCUAAGUUCGAUGGCGACCGGCGCACGGGUGAGUAACGCGUAUCCAACCUUCCGUACACUCAGGGAUAGCCUUUCGAAAGAAAGAUUAAUACCUGAUGGUAUGAUGAGAUUGCAUGAAAUCAUCAUUAAAGAUUCAUCGGUGUACGAUGGGGAUGCGUUCCAUUAGAUAGUAGGCGGGGUAACGGCCCACCUAGUCUACGAUGGAUAGGGGUUCUGAGAGGAAGGUCCCCCACAUUGGAACUGAGACACGGUCCAAACUCCUACGGGAGGCAGCAGUGAGGAAUAUUGGUCAAUGGGCGCGAGCCUGAACCAGCCAAGUAGCGUGAAGGAUGAAGGUCCUACGGAUUGUAAACUUCUUUUAUAAGGGAAUAAAGUCAUCCACGUGUGGGUGUUUGUAUGUACCUUAUGAAUAAGCAUCGGCUAACUCCGUGCCAGCAGCCGCGGUAAUACGGAGGAUGCGAGCGUUAUCCGGAUUUAUUGGGUUUAAAGGGAGCGUAGGCGGGAGAUUAAGUCAGCUGUGAAAGUUCGGGGCUCAACCUUGGAAUUGCAGUUGAAACUGGUUUUCUUGAGUGCGGCAGAGGCAGGCGGAAUUCGUGGUGUAGCGGUGAAAUGCUUAGAUAUCACGAAGAACUCCGAUUG